GAUGAACGCUGGCGGCGUGCCUAAUACAUGCAAGUCGAGCGAAUGGAUUAAGAGCUUGCUCUUAUGAAGUUAGCGGCGGACGGGUGAGUAACACGUGGGUAACCUGCCCAUAAGACUGGGAUAACUCCGGGAAACCGGGGCUAAUACCGGAUAACAUUUUGAACCGCAUGGUUCGAAAUUGAAAGGCGGCUUCGGCUGUCACUUAUGGAUGGACCCGCGUCGCAUUAGCUAGUUGGUGAGGUAACGGCUCACCAAGGCAACGAUGCGUAGCCGACCUGGGAGGGUGAUCGGCCACACUGGGACUGAGACACGGCCCAGACUCCUACGGGAGGCAGAAGUAGGGAAUCUUCCGCAAUGGACGAAAGUCUGACGGAGCAACGCCGCGUGGGUGAUGAAGGCUUUCGGGUCGUAAAACUCUGUUGUUAGGGAAGAACAAGUGCUAGUUGAAUAAGCUGGCACCUUGACGGUACCUAACCAGAAAGCCACGGCUAACUACGUGCCAGCCGCCGCGGUAA
rnacentral:rRNA from 1 species